CUACGGGGGGCAGCAGUGGGGAAUCUUGGACAAUGGGCGCAAGCCUGAUCCAGCCAUGCCGCGUGAGUGAAGAAGGCCUUAGGGUCGUAAAGCUCUUUCGCCAGAGAUGAUAAUGACAGUACCUGGUAAAGAAACCCCGGCUAACUCCGUGCCAGGAGCCGCGGUAAUACGGAGGGGGUUAGCGUUGUUCGGAAUUACUGGGCGUAAAGCGCGCGUAGGCGGAUUAGUCAGUCAGAGGUGAAAUCCCAGGGCUCAACCCUGGAACUGCCUUUGAUACUGCUAGUCUUGAGUUCGAGAGAGGUGAGUGGAAUUCCGAGUGUAGAGGUGAAAUUCGUAGAUAUUCGGAGGAACACCAGUGGCGAAGGCGGCUCACUGGCUCGAUACUGACGCUGAGGUGCGAAAGUGUGGGGAGCAAACAGGAUUAGAUACCCUCGUAGUC
rnacentral:rRNA from 1 species